rnacentral:rRNA from 1 species
AUUGAACGCUGGCGGCAGGCCUAACACAUGCAAGUCGAGCGGAUGAGAAGAGCUUGCUCUUCGAUUCAGCGGCGGACGGGUGAGUAAUGCCUAGGAAUCUGCCUGGUAGUGGGGGACAACGUCUCGAAAGGGACGCUAAUACCGCAUACGUCCUACGAGAGAAAGCAGGGGACCUUCGGGCCUUGCGCUAUCAGAUGAGCCUCGGUCGGAUUAGCUGGUUGGUGAGGUAAUGGCUAACCAAGGCGACGAUCCGUAACUGGUCUGAGAGGAUGAUCAGUCACACUGGAACUGAGACACGGUCCAGACUCCUACGGGAGGCAGCAGUGGGGAAUAUUGGACAAUGGGCGAAAGCCUGAUCCAGCCAUGCCGCGUGUGUGAAGAAGGUCUUCGGAUUGUAAAGCACUUUAAGUUGGGAGGAAGGGCAGUCAGCGAAUACCUGGUUGUUUUGACGUUACCGACAGAAUAAGCACCGGCUAACUCUGUGCCAGCCGCCGCCGUAACAC